UACGGAGGGUGCAAGCAUUAAUCGGAUUUAUUGGGCGUAAAGGGCGCGUAGGCGGGAAGAUAAGUCAGAUGUGAAAUCCCGGGGCUCAACCUCGGAACAGCAUUUGAAACUAUCAUUCUAGAGGAUAGGCGGAGAAAACGGAAUUCCACAAGUAGCGGUGAAAUGCGUAGAUAUGUGGAAGAACACCGGUGGCGAAGGCGGUUUUCUAGCUUAGACCUGACGCUGAGGCGCGAAAGCAAGGGGAUCAAACAGG
rnacentral:rRNA from 1 species